CCCUCCUGUCAAACGGACGUCCCACAGACUAAUUGUGAACAAUCUCUCCAGUGGUGUGAGUUGGCAGGAUUUGAGGGAACUCAUGAGUAACGUGGCCAGUGUCUCCUUUGUCGAUGCUCACAGACCCGUCGUAAAUUCAGGAAUUGUGGAAUUUUGGUCACAAGCUGACUUGAAGGCAGCAAAAGAUAAGUUUAAUGGAUAUGAUUUGAACGGGAGAAAACUUGAAUUGAUAGAGGAUGUCAUA